rnacentral:rRNA from 1 species
CCUACGGGCGGCAGCAGUGAGGAAUAUUGGUCAAUGGUCGGGAGUCUGAACCAGCCAAGCCGCGUGAGGGAUGAAGGUACUGUGUGUCGUAAACUUCUUUUGUAAGAGAGCAAAGGCGGGGACGUGUAUCCGUCUGAGUGUAUCUUACGAAUAAGCAUCGGCUAACUCCGUGCCAGCAGCCGCGGUAAUACGGAGGAUGCGAGCGUUAUCCGGAUUUAUUGGGUUUAAAGGGUGCGUAGGCGGUCGGUAAAGUCAGGGGUAAAACCCCGGGGCCCAACUCGGGACUGCCUUUGAAAAUGUGAGGCUCGAGUGGGAGAGAGGUAGGCGGAAUGUGCGGUGUAGCGGUGAAAUGCUUAGAUAUCAUGCAGAACACCGAUUGCGAAGGCAGCUUGCC